GACGAACGCUGGCGGCGCGCUUAACGCAUGCAAGUCGAACGGAAAGGCCCUGCUUUUGUGGGGUGCUCGAGUGGCGAACGGGUGAGUAACACGUGAGUAACCUGCCCUUGACUUUGGGAUAACUUCAGGAAACUGGGGCUAAUACCGGAUAGGAGCUCCUGCUGCAUGGUGGGGGUUGGAAAGUUUCGGCGGUUGGGGAUGGACUCGCGGCUUAUCAGCUUGUUGGUGGGGUAGUGGCUUACCAAGGCUUUGACGGGUAGCCGGCCUGAGAGGGUGACCGGCCACAUUGGGACUGAGAUACGGCCCAGACUCCUACGGGAGGCAGCAGUGGGGAAUAUUGCACAAUGGGCGGAAGCCUGAUGCAGCAACGCCGCGUGCGGGAUGACGGCCUUCGGGUUGUAAACCGCUUUCGCCUGUGACGAAGCGUGAGUGACGGUAAUGGGUAAAGAAGCACCGGCUAACUACGUG
rnacentral:rRNA from 1 species